UUACGGCCAUAUCACGUUAAAACACCGGUUCUCGUACGAUCAACGGUUAAGCAACGUCGAGCCUGGUCAGUACCUAGAUGGGUGACCGCUUAGGAAUACAAGGCGCUGUAC
rnacentral:rRNA from 1 species